CCCCGAAUGACAUUUGUUUAUUUAGGUUAUGUUUUGAAUUUUCAUCGACAAUUUUCCGCUGAAUUCUUGGGUGGGACAAAAUGCCGCUCUGAAAUAUUCCCACAACCAUGCCCACAUGAACUCAUUGCCCAACAACGUUCACACUUGCAAAAUUUGUCCAUUCUUCUCCACAUCAGAGUUCCGAAUGGUAAACCACAUGAGAACCCACCGUUGGCCGUUAACUCAGUUCAGCUGCGAAAAAUCCAACCUUGAUUUAUACUUUUGCAAGGAUUGCAACUUCCAAACCGACCUAACCUUACUUUUGAAAAAACACAUCAAAAAAAUACCACCGCUCCCAUCCACAAAACAAACACAACCCGCAAGAAGAAGACGAAAUUCGGAGUUAUAUUUGCAAACAAUGUAGUUUUGAAACGCAUUUUUUGUUGAAAUGGUGGCAACAUGCUCAAAUGUGCCCAAAAAAUAACGCAAAACGUGAAAUAAGUUGGUAUCAAUACAAAAACUGUUCACACAAAAGUGCCAACUUGAUAAAAACGCAUAAAUGCGACUAUGAAAUCAAGGAUUUAAGUGAAGAUGGUGUGAAAUGGCACAAAUGCAACCAUUGUUUGUUCAAGACACUGAGAAAAGAUGCUUUGAAAAGACAUAUGGUUAAUAUUCAUUUCAGUGAAAAUCACUCUGACUGGCAUCAAUGUGAUAAAUGUCCAUUCAAAGCCAAAUUUCACUAUAUGCUAAACAGACACAUACGUAAGCGGCAUUUACAGACCACAGAGAAAGCGACUUUCAUCUGGUACAAAUGUGAUCAUUGUCAAUUGAAAACAGCUUCCUUGGACUUUUUAAACAGCCAUGUUAGCGAAAAACACAAAAUUAAAGCAGACGCUGAAUAUAAGUGUGAACAAUGUUCCUACAAAGCAAUGCGAAAAAAUCUUCUGACACGUCACAUCAGGAACUUGCACCAACGCGACCAGCUUAAGCAGUUUCAAUGUGACCAGUGUUCAUACAAAUCAACAAGAAAUUACAUACUACCUGAAACGUCAUACAUUGAACAUGCACGAACCCAACCGGAACAAGUGGUUUCAGUGUGACCAAUGUUUAUACAAAACAACAAAGAGGGAGGAACUGACUCUUCACACCAUGAACAGGCACCAACGUGAUCAGAUUAAGCAGUUUCAGUGCAACCAGUGUUUGUACAAAACAACACGAAAAUAUCAUCUCACACGUCACACAUUGAGCGUGCACCAACGUCAACAAACUAAGCAGUUUCAAUGUGACCAGUGUUCAUACAAAUCAUCAAAAAAAAUGCAUCUGAUUCUUCACAUCAUGAAUGUGCACCAACGCGGUCAGACUAAGCAGUUUCAAUGUGACCAAUGUUGUACCAAACAACACAAAAACAUCAUUUGACGCGUCAUACCAUGAACAUGCACCAACGCGACCGAAUUAAGCAGUUUCAGUGUGACCAGUGUCCGUACAAUUCAACGAGGAAUGAUCAUCUGAAACGUCACGUAGUGAAUAUGCACGAACCCGACCGAAACAAGUAUUGAUUUGUUUUUAAUAACUUUUUUGUUUCUAGGCAAAAAUUAUUCCUUAAAUAUUAUUUAAUACUUU